rnacentral:rRNA from 1 species
GACGAACGCUGGCGGCGGGCCUAACACAUGCAAGUCGAACGAAGUGGCGAACGGGUGAGUAAUACGUGGGUAACCUGCCCUCCUUUUUGGGAUAAGCCUUGGAAACGGGGUCUAAUACCGAAUAAAGGGGGAUGGGCUGGCGGCGUAUGAGCUGGUUGGUGGGGUCAUGGCUGACCAAGGCGGUGACGGGUAGCCGGCCUGAGAGGGUGACCGGCACUGAGGCGCCGGGGAUACGGCCCAGAGAGCUACCGGAGGGAGCAGUUGGAGAUAGUGCGCAAGGGGCGAAAGCCCGAUGCGGCGAUGCCGCGUGGGGGAUGGAGUCUUACGGGUUGUAAACCUCGUACGCUGUCGGACGGGUAGGUGGAGAAGAAGCGCCGGCUAACUACGUGCCAGCAGCCGCGGUAAUAC